CUCGGUGCUCAAACCGAUGGGGAAACACCCGUUCCCAUUCCGAACACGGAAGUUAAGCUCAUCAGGGCCGAUGGUACUGUGCUGGCGACGGCAUGGGAGAGUAGGUCAGUGCCGAGC
rnacentral:rRNA from 1 species